UAAUAAUAACACACUCUUAAAUAACAUUGUCUAAUAAUAACACACUAAUGGCCUGUACCUUGACAUGGUGAGUGGGCUUCAAACCAAGACAGGCCAUUGAUUUCAGCAUUUCUUUAAAAUGCUCCGAUAACCACCUGUGUGGACACCUGCAGGACUACUUUCUGUACGGAUCCAGGUGUAAAUGUCACAGCUGCAACAUAACUUUUCAACAUGACAGAGUGACUAGUUAUUGGACAUUGAGUGUGUCUGUCUGUCUGGCCAUACUGUCUUUGAGUUGGCUUUAGUUCUGCAUUGAUUGAAUAUAUAUUUUAUCAUUGAAUUUAGUUUUGCACUAAAUACAUAGAGUAAAUGACAUGUUCAGUGUUCUAGUGUCCCUGUGUUGUCUGUUCCUACUGUCACUGUGAGGUUGCUGAGCCGCUGGUGGGAAACGGGGCAUCGGUCAACGUAACUAUCUGAUUUCACCCCUCUCUUUGAGGCUGCAACCGAGGGCAAUUAGCUCAAGAACUGUGAUGGUAACAUGUCUCUGGGCAUGGUGAAGGAGAGAGACAAGGGCAUCCUGGAGCACUGGGAUGACGACAACGCUCAGGUCAAAGGAGGGCUCGUCUCCCUGCACAACGCAGACUCAUACGGGCACAUGCAUAUUGCGGUCCUCCUGAUCAAGUUUCACGCAGUGGACCAGCACCAGUCCGUAAGUAGCCUGACACCACUGGAGGUGAACUGAUGGACAGUGGACCAGCAGCAAUCAGUAUGUAGCCUGAUACCACUGGAGGUGAACUGAUGGACAGUAGACCAGCAGCAAUCAGCAUGUAGCCUGARACCACUGGAGGUGAACUGAUGGACAGUAGACCAGCAGCAAUCAGRAUGUAGCCUGAUACCACUGGAGGUGAACUGAUMGACAGUAGACCAGCACCAAUCAGCAUGUAGCCUGACACCACUGGAGGUCUUGAUGGUACAGUAUUUGUGUAGAAUAAGAAAAAAAAAACAGUAGGUGACCAGUAAAAUGCAGACAACUUUAGUGAACUAUUUACACAUAACAUAUAGACAAGAAUCCAGUAUAAGUAGGAGCAGAUCAGUCUAUAGUUUACAGCAACCUGAGCGUGACCAUAUCCCUGUCCAACGGCAGUAGUACAGACACCUCCAUCCUGACGCCGAUGGCCACGCACCCCAGGAAUCCCUCAUCCUCAUCCURUUCCUCCUGCAUGUCCAGCUGAAGUUCCCUGAUCUGACUCUUCUCCUCCUGUACCCUGGCCUCUAGGGACGCCAGCACCUUGUGGUAGAAGCUUGGGCUGUAGCGGGCUUGACAAGAAGCUCAUACAGGGCCUGGGUACUCCUGCUGGCUACCAGGGCUCCGAUGUACCUGUCUGGAGGUGAGAGGUGCACCAACUUUUAAAUGUAACAGGCACAAACUAUUAUGUAGGACCAACAUCUCCAACAGAUUCAUUUACAUUUGUGUCAUUUAGCAGAGGCUCUUAUCCUGAGGGACUCAUUGGAGCAAUUCGCCUUGCUCAAGGGAACAUCGACAGAUAUUUCACCUAGUCGGCCCGGGGAUUCGAACUAGCGACCUUUCGGUUAAGUUCAGAUUGUAUCAAUAAUAGCAAUACAUGGCAUGCAUCAAAUAAAAAUGUCAGUGAAUUUCAUGACGUAAUGACAUUAUUUGGAACCAUUCACUUCACAGUCAGUCUUCCAGGRCCAUCUUCCAAUCUCAGGAAUCCUGCACCAUGAAGGAGCAGGUCCCCGGACUAGGGCCAGUCAAUGAUUUCCUCAGUUUSUCCUUCUGUGAUUGUAUGUGACACAAGCUCAUCCGUGUAACAGCAUGAAUAUACAACAUUAAUAACUUUCGCUGUUAUCAAUGGAAAGAAGGUCAACSUCGAAGACACUUCAUGGAAAAAUUCAAUGGUUAUUUUUGGCACAAAGGUGAUAACGAAAGUUMAAAAAAAAAUCUUUAUAGACUUCUCUAUUGGAAUUGUCUUUCUGGGCUCAGCGUCCGUUAAAGAGCAGUACCGCCAGUCUCCUCUGGGUACAUGGGAGGGUAUGCUUCCUGACCAGAACCCUGGCCCCUUGGAUCCACGCAGGGGUAUAGUGCUGCUGGAGUGUGGAGGGGCAGCACUCCCUCACUUUUUUCAAUUUGAGAAUACAAGGAGCUGGUAAAACUAUUUCAGGAAAAUGUAUUCUGAUAAAUUCAAAAUAAAUUAUAUUUAAUUACCACUUAAAUUCCAUGAAGAACGGUAGAAUGACAAACCAAAUAAAUAUGUAUAGCAGUCUAGAGGUAAAUGGUGGUUUCUUCCCUGUCUUCUUUCUGGUGGCGGUAAGACCUAUGAAGAACUAUAUAGGCUACCUGUUAUGAAGCACUACGUAGGCUACCUGUUAUGAAGCACUACGUAGGCUACCUGUUAUGAAGCACUAUGUAGGCCUACCUGUUAUAAAACACUAUGUAGGCUACCUGUUAUGAAGCACUACAUAGGCUACCUGUUAUGAAGCACUUACGUAGGCUACCUGUUAUGAAGCACUACGUAGGCUACCUGUUAUGAAGAACUAUGAUAGGCUACCUGUUAUGAAGCACUACGUAGGCUACCUGUUAUGAAGAACCAUAUAGGCUACCUGUUAUGAAGCACUAGUAGGCUACCUGUUAUGAAGCACUAUGUAGGCUACUGUUAUGAAAAGAACUACGUAGGCUACCUGUGUAUACUGCAGAGGCCCAUCAGAGGCUUGACCACGUUGGCCAAUCAGAACAUUGAAAAAAAUAUCCUAAUUCACCGUGUGUUGACCACGUCUUGAGCAGUGGAACCCAGAACCAUGUGACCACUUGGUAAUGACGACACGUUUCUGCCAAGGACACCCAAACCAGAGGGAGCCUGAACCUCUCUGGAAGUUGCUGUAGCCCUGCUUGGGAUACUUUGUCUACUGGUUGCGAUGCAGGGCCCGUUCUAGCUUGGCAUAUCAGGGUGGGCAAUUGGAAAUGUGAAUUGGGAGGUAAUAAUGCAUUUAGGUUCUAGUUUAUUGAGGUGCAUGAAUACACCACACCAAAAGAUUGAUUUGACGGCUGUUUUAAAACAAAUUUCCUACAAUUCUACAUAGUAAUGAUUUCUGUUCACUACUUUGUCAAUUGAUUUGAUAGCUUGUUUAAUAAUCGAUGCAAAUACAUUCUAUGAAUUGAUAGUUCACCUCUGUUUUAUAUUAUCUUGUAAUAGGGUAGUAUUGUAACCAUGUGUUCCAGCUAAUCAAAUCAAAGUUUAUUUAUGAUACAUUGUGUAAGCUACAGAAUACAAAGACAUAUCGACUCGCAAAUAAAGCUCUCCUCGUAA